rnacentral:lncRNA from 1 species
CUCACAAGAUCCUCUCUCAGCUAUAACCACUGUUAAUAUCUUGAUACUCUCUCGUAGGAAGAAACAGCAGAGACGCUUCUGCUGCGAGGUCAGCAGAAGGAGGAAGAGUUUCCUGUAAGGACGCCCAGCACUAAGGAACACAGGGACCCAUGACACUCCUCGGAAGGGAAGCCAAGAACGAGCUCACGGAGCGAGCGGGACGCUCCGGGGAGGCUGGCGGCGGAGCUCGAGGUCUCCCGGUCAACAUUACAUGGUCAUCAGAAGUGGGAUCCAGAGAAAACCCCCAACAACUCUGAGGCUGGUGAGCAAAUAGGUACUAGUACCCACAGAGCCAUUGAGCUUUCUGCUUUCUUGCCGACCCUGGAGUUUGGGUGACAAGGUCCGCUUCUGCUGUUGGUCCCCUCCUGAUGAGAGGCUGUAAGAGGUUUUUCCCUAGUUUUCUGUUAUAUCAAAAUUAUUUCCUGUGCUUUAUUUUAAAGAUUUUAUUUUUUCCUUUUUCUCCCCAAAGCCCCCCUGUACACAGUUGUAUAUUCUUCAUUGUGGGUCCUUCUAGUUGUGGCAUGUGGGACGCUGCCUCAGUGUGGUCUGAUGAGCAGUGCCAUGUCCAUGCCCAGGAUUCGAACCAACGAAACACUGGGCUGCCUGCAGCGGAGCGCGCGAACUUAACCGCUCAGCCACGGGGCCAGCCCCUCCUGUGCUUUAUUUUAAAGGCUGAGUCUUUUCUAUUAAAAAGUGCUAAGGUUUUGCAGCUAUGUAACCUUCUAUAUUUGUCUUUGAAAUCCUUUUGUUACUGGUUAAAUGGAUAAUUAAAUAUUGUUUCAUAAUUUUCUGUGAUCCUAUUUGGUCUUAUGUCCAAAGCCUUUUGACAUUUUUGACAAACUUCCCAAAAAUCAAAUUCUAAAUAAAGUCUUUUUGACCUGAAAAUAACUUUGGGAAUUUCCAGACGGUGCCUGGGACUUCUCAAAGGAUUUGUUCUCUCUUCCUAUAAAAAGGGAAAUGUUGAACUAAUUGGACUUAUUUGAUAUGUCAAAUUACAUGGAAAGCAUCAUCAAAUAAAUGAUGAUAAACCUUCUUACGUUAUAUUAUAUAGGUGAAUGUUGUUAAAAUAAAUGUUCUAGAGAUUGUAUGAAAAUUCCUAAAAUUCUGAUAUUUCCUG